CUUGGCAGUUGGUUCACCGCACCUUCAACACCAAAUUAAUACACAACAAGGUUCAAUUUUAGAAACAAGAAUAACAAAGAAUGAACAUGAACAUUACAGUUUUCAUUAGUGAUUAUAAAUUGUAUUAACACAAGAAAAUGUAAAGAGGAACGGCAAUUUAUUAACAUCAUUGAUGAUAUUCUCAUAAUAACUCCAUCCAAAGAACCAAAAAGAUCAAUUGCAAAAAUUUACUCAUUUUUCUUCUUCUUUUUUUUUAGUUGUUUUCGAUAAUCGCAAUUGACAUCAAACGACUCCAACUGAUGAUCUCACUUGGGCAGCACAAGUUGCACACUAGUGUGGCAUCCAAAUUCACGCAUGCAAUUGCAGAAUCUCAUCAUUCAGAGAAAAAUACCUAUCUAUCGAGAUAGCAACAACUACAUUUUUUUUUCAAGAAAGAGAGAGAAGGGGGGAGGGAGAUGAGAACCGGCAAUAUGUGUUUUCAAGAACAAAAGAAGAGAAAACGAAAAAAGAUAUGUGGCUAAAUUAAUAUGUGUACUACAAGUCAACACCCAGGAUCAUGCCUCUUGUAAUAAUUUUCUAGCAAUCACUGAUUUAAAUUAUACAUAAAUAG
rnacentral:misc_RNA from 1 species